rnacentral:rRNA from 1 species
ACGAACGCUUGCGGCAUGCCUCACACCUGCCAGUCGAGCGAGACCUUCGGGUCUAGUGGCGCACGGGUGCGUAACGCGUGGGAACCUGCCCUUAGGUUCGGAAUAACUCCCCGAAAGGGGUGCUAAUACCGGAUAAUGUCUUCGGACCAAAGAUUUAUCGCCUUUGGAUUGGCCCGCGUUGGAUUAGCUAGUUGGUAGGGUAAAAGCCUACCAAGGCGACGAUCCAUAGCUGGUCUGAGAGGAUGAUAAGCCACACUGGGACUGAGACACGGCCCAGACUCCUACGGGAGGCAGCAGUGGGGAAUAUUGGACACUGGGCGAAAGCCUGAUCCAGCAAUGCCGCGUGAGUGAUGAAGGCCUUAGGGUUGUAAAGCUCUUUUACCCGGGAUGAUAAUGACAGUACCGGGAGAAUAAGCUCCGGCUAACUACGUG